GGGAUUUUAGCUCAGUGGUACAGCAUCUGCCUUAUAAGCACAAGGUCCUGAAUUCAAUCCCU
rnacentral:tRNA from 1 species